GACGAACGCUGGCGGCGUGCUUAACACAUGCAAGUCGAACGGAAAGGCCCUGCUUUUGUGGGGUGCUCGAGUGGCGAACGGGUGAGUAACACGUGAGUAACCUGCCCUUGACUUUGGGAUAACUUCAGGAAACUGGGGCUAAUACCGGAUAGGAGCUCCUGCUGCAUGGUGGGGGUUGGAAAGUUUCGGCGGUUGGGGAUGGACUCGCGGCUUAUCAGCUUGUUGGUGGGGUAGUGGCUUACCAAGGCUUUGACGGGUAGCCGGCCUGAGAGGGUGACCGGCCACAUUGGGACUGAUAUCCGGCCCAGCCUCCUACGGGAGGCAGCAGUGGGGAAUAUUGCACAAUGGGCGGAAGCCUGAUGCAGCAACGCCGCGUGCGUGAUGACGGCCUUCGGGUUGUAAACCGCUUUCGCCUGUGACGAAGCGUGAGUGACGGUAAUGGGUAAAGAAGCACCGGCUAACUACGUG
rnacentral:rRNA from 1 species